UACAGAAGGAAGCCUAAAGUUCAAUGAUGAGGACAUGCCGGCUUGGCAAGCUUCUCUUUUGAACAAGUUCACGUAUAAAACAGGUUGUCAAUACAUGAUUCUAACUAACACAAGCAUAGGAUAAGAUUGUCCUUGCCUUAUGUGGCAUAAGUCACCCCCAGCAUGGUGAGGAGAGCAGCCUCUACUGGACAGAACGCUUACACAUGGAUCCUGCAGUGAGCAGACCCCUGCACCAAUGAAGAUCCAUGCUGACAUCAAGACAGGAACUUCACGCACUUUGAGGCCUCUGCAUAGAACAUACAUCUCGGUU